ACGAGUUAGGGUCUCUCUGGCCCGACCUCCCAACCCUUUGUCUACUUGACCAUCGUUGCUUCGGCGAGCCCGUCCUCACGGACCGCCGGAGGACCCGCCCCUGGGCGUCCUCUGGCCAGCGUCUGCCGAUAGCCACUCUCAAAACUCUUGAAUAAAUCAUGUUAUUGUCUAAGUUAUGAUGCAAAUCAAUUAAAGCA
rnacentral:misc_RNA from 1 species